rnacentral:rRNA from 1 species
CGAACGGGUGAGUAAUGCGUGACCAACCUGCCCCAUGCUCCAGAAUAGCUCUUGGAAACGGGUGGUAAUGCUGGAUGCUCCAACUUGACGCAUGUCUUGUUGGGAAAGUGUUUAGUGGCAUGGGAUGGGGUCGCGUCCUAUCAGCUUGUAGGCGGGGUAAUGGCCCACCUAGGCUUCGACGGGUAGCCGGCCUGAGAGGGUGAACGGCCACAUUGGAACUGAGAAACGGUCCAAACUCCUACGGGAGGCAGCAGGC